rnacentral:rRNA from 1 species
UACGAAGGGUGCAAGCGUUACUCGGAAUUACUGGGCGUAAAGCGUGCGUAGGUGGUUUGUUAAGUCUGAUGUGAAAGCCCUGGGCUCAACCUGGGAAUUGCAUUGGAUACUGGCAGGCUAGAGUGCGGUAGAGGAUGGCGGAAUUCCCGGUGUAGCAGUGAAAUGCGUAGAGAUCGGGAGGAACACCGGUGGCGAAGGCGGCGAUCUGGGAAGAUACUGACGCUGAGGUGCGAAAGCGUGGGGAGCAAACAGG